AGAGUUUGAUCAUGGCUCAGGACGAACGCUGGCGGCAUUGCCUAACACAUGCAAGUCGAACGGAGAUUAUUUCGAUAAUCUUAGUGGCGAACGGGUGAGUAACGCGUGGGCAACCUGCCCUCUAGAUGGGGGACAACAUCCCGAAAUGGGUGCUAAUACCGAAUGUGACAGCAAUCUCGCAUGAGGGAUGCUGUGAAAGAUGGCCUCUAUUUAUAAGCUAUCG
rnacentral:rRNA from 1 species